UACGUAGGGUGCGAGCGUUAAUCGGAAUUAUUGGGCGUAAAGGGCGCGUAGGCGGCCUUUCAAGUGACGGGUGAAAUCCCUCGGCUUAACCGAGGAACUGCCUGUCAGACUGGGAGGCUUGAGACCGGGAGAGGUGAGUGGAAUUCCCAGUGUAGCGGUGAAAUGCGUAGAUAUUGGGAGGAACACCAGUGGCGAAGGCGGCUCACUGGACCGGAACUGACGCUGAGGCGCGAAAGCGUGGGGAGCAAACAGG
rnacentral:rRNA from 1 species